ACCUGGCUAGCUCAGUCGGUAGAGCAUGAGAUUCUUCAUCUCAGGGUCGUGGGUUUGAGCCCUUCGUUGGGCG
rfam:Danio rerio chromosome 4, GRCz11 reference primary assembly.